rnacentral:rRNA from 1 species
AUUGAACGCUGGCGGCAGGCUUAACACAUGCCAGUCGAGCGGAGAUGAGGUGCUUGCCCCUUAUCUUAGCGGCGGACGGGUGAGUAAUGCUUAGGAAUCUGCCAUUUAGUGGGGGACAACAUUCCGAAAGGAAUGCUAAUACCGCAUACGUCCUACGGGAGAAAGCCGGGGAUCUUCGGACCUUGCGCUAAAUGAUGAGCCUAAGUCGGAUUAGCUAGUUGGUGGGGUAAAGGCCUACCAAGGCGACGAUCUGUAGCGGGACUGAGAGGAUGAUCCGCCACACUGGGACUGAGACACGGCCCAGGAUCCUACGGGAGGCAGCAGUGAGGAAUAUUGGACAAUGGGGGGAACCCUGAUCCAGCCAUGCCGCGGGUGGGAAGAAGGCCUUAUGGUUGGAAAGCACGUUAAGCGAGGAGGAGGCUACUGAGACUAAUACUCUUGGAUAGUGGACGGUACUCGCAGAAUAAGCACCGGCUAACUCUGUG